UUUUUUUUGGGUGUGUAAUGAAUGAAUGAAAUGAUACUACUAACAUUCAACUGAAAAAAGAAAAGGUUCAGUUUGAGCUGAAAAAUGAGAUGAAUUGGCCAUUUUUUGAUUCUCUAACUUCAUAUGUAUAUGAACACAUGAUCUAAGAUAUAUAGGUUGGUAUGGUAUUUGUUGGGGUAAUCAGCUUAAUUAUUCCUAUUUUGGUUGCUGUUGG
rnacentral:lncRNA from 1 species